AGCCGGGCCCUGUGCACCGGCGGGUUAUGAACCCCGUCAGGCCCGGAAGGGAGCAGCGGUAGUAACCUCAGCCGGUGGCGCAGAAAGCCUGGCUAUC
rnacentral:SRP_RNA from 1 species